AGUGAACGCUGGCGGUAGGCCUAACACAUGCAAGUCGAACGGCAGCACAGUAAGAGCUUGCUCUUACGGGUGGCGAGUGGCGGACGGGUGAGGAAUACAUCGGAAUCUACUUUUUCGUGGGGGAUAACGUAGGGAAACUUACGCUAAUACCGCAUACGACCUACGGGUGAAAGCAGGGGAUCUUCGGACCUUGCGCGAUUGAAUGAGCCGAUGUCGGAUUAGCUAGUUGGCGGGGUAAAGGCCCACCAAGGCGACCAUCCGUAGCUGGUCUGAGAGGAUGAUCAGCCACACUGGAACUGAGACACGGUCCAGACUCCUACGGGAGGCAGCAGUGGGGAAUAUUGGACAAUGGGCGCAAGCCUGAUCCAGCCAUACCGCGUGGGUGAAGAAGGCCUUCGGGUUGUAAAGCCCUUUUGUUGGGAAAGAAAAGCAGCAGGUUAAUACCCCGCUGUUCUGACGGUACCCAAAGAAUAAGCACCGGCUAACUUCGU
rnacentral:rRNA from 1 species